CGCUGAAUGGCAGAGUCAGUCAAUGCGGCCGACUGAAGAUCGGCAGAUUCAGGUGCAAUUCCUGGUUCAGCGA
rnacentral:tRNA from 1 species